CCAAGGAGUCUAACAUGUGCGCGAGUCAUGGGGUUCUACGAAACCUAAAGGCACAAUGAAAGUGAAGGCCGCCUCCGGUUGGCCUAGGUAGGAUCCGUCGAUCCGUCGGCGGCGCACUACCGGCCCGUUCCGUCAGCUUCGUCUGUGGAGCGGAGCAAGAGCGUACACGUUGGGACCCGAAAGAUGGUGAACUAUGCCUGAGUAGGAUGAAGCCAGAGGAAACUCUGGUGGAGGUCCGUAGCGAUUCUGACGUGCAAAUCGAUCGUCAAACUUGGGUAUAGGGGCGAAAGACUAAUCGAACCAUCUA
rnacentral:rRNA from 2 species